rnacentral:rRNA from 1 species
CCUACGGGAGGCAGCAGUGGGGAAUAUUGCACAAUGGGGGAAACCCUGAUGCAGCGACGCCGCGUGAGUGAAGAAGUAUUUCGGUAUGUAAAGCUCUGUCAGCAGGGAAGAAAAUGACGGUACCUGACUAAGAAGCCCCGGCUAACUACGUGCCAGCAGCCGCGGUAAUACGUAGGGGGCAAGCGUUAUCCGGAUUUACUGGGUGUAAAGGGAGCGUAGACGGCGAUGCAAGUCUGAAGUGAAAGGCGGGGGCCCAACCCCCGGACUGCUUUGGAAACUGUAUGGCUGGAGUGCAGGAGAGGUAAGUGGAAUUCCUAGUGUAGCGGUGAAAGGCGUAGAUAUUAGGAGGAACACCAGUGGCGAAGGCGGCUUACUGGACUGUAACUGACGUUGAGGCACGAAGGCCAGGGGAGCGAAAGGGAUUAGAUACCCCUGUAGUC